UUUGCAAUCAUUUGUCAGUC
rnacentral:misc_RNA from 1 species